CGUCUUUCAUAAUCACCAUCGUCAAAUCCUGAUCAAUAAUCCCAAUAUCCCAAUAAUCAAUCAGGCUUUUUUCUAAUCUAUAUAUUCGAUCUUCAUCCUCGGAUCAAUUUAUAAUAUAUGGUACCCAAUUCCAAUUUUCAUAUUAGUUUUGCUCUUCAUGGGUUCCGUGCCCACCUACAUUUCGACACGUGCUGCUCCCGUUCUCAAUGAGUACCUGAGGAAUGGGUGUUGCGUUUUGGGUCCCUGCUACCUGACCCCAAUAUUUCAAAUUUCAAGGGCAAAACAUUGAAGCGUGGAGAAUCACUGUGCUUUUUCUGAUGGAAACGACAAAACAAAGCCAAACUCAGAUGUGACCCUUCACUGGGAGACACUUCACUGGGACCGGGACUGCUCCCAUCUUCUGUCCUUUGCGGCCUGUUGUCGAAGACAUUCAGAAAACUGCUAAUGAGGAUAGUGAUCUUCAAAUUGUGAGAGGGUAUUUUGAAAUCCAUAGACAGUGGCCCUGAUGUUGCUUAUAGAAAGGUGUAUCCUUUUUGGAAAUGGUAUGAGAAGCAAGAUGGGAUUCGAUCUCUGCAGAAAAAUAGUAAGGAUCCAGCUCCAGAAUUUUACAACUUUUAUCUUGAAAGGCCCAAGGGUGAUGCUGAUGGGUAUGAUUUAGUUGUUGUUGAUGCCAUGCAUAAAGCAACCUAUGCAAGUAGAAUUUGUCACUUGUGCCGACCUAAUUGUGAAGCAAAAGUUACUGCUGUAGAUGGUCGUUACAAGAUUGGAAUAUACACCGUACGUAAAAUUCAAUACGGUGAAGAGAUCACAUUGGACUACAACUCUAUUAAGGAGGGUAAGGAAGAAUAUGAAGCAUCAGAUUGUUUGUGCGGCAGUCAAGUUUGCCGGGGAGGUUACCUGAAUUUGAUAGGCGAAGGAUCAUUCCUGGAGAUGCUGAAGGAUUGUCAUAAAAUUCUGAAUUGUCAUCGUCUAAUGCUGGAAGCUUGCGAGUUAAAUUCAGUAUCUGAGGUGGAUUCACUUGACCUGUAAAGGGCUGGUUUAGGCAACUGUUUGCUUGGUGGGUUGCCAGAUUGAGUGAUUGCAUAUUCAGCUUGUUUGGGGAGGUAAAGCACAACUUAAAAGAAAAGAACAAUUAUUGCUCAGAUACAUGUCGUGAGGUUGAGAGGAGUGAUGCAGAGGUUUAGGCUGACGGUGUGUUCAAACAAAGGGUUCAGAGUUUGGCUGUUACUCUUGACAAGAUGAAGUAUGUUAUGCGCUCUGUAUUUGGCAACCCAAAGAAUGCUCCACCUACACUGGAGAGGUUAAGUCCAGAAGAAGCUGUUGGCUUUCUAUGGGAGGGAGAAGGAUCAUUUGUUGAGGAAGUCCUUCAGAGGAUUGCUCCUAAUGUGGAGGAAGAAUUGCUAAAUGAUCUCAAGUCCAAAAUGCCUACUCAUGAUCCGUCGGGUUCAGAUGACAUUUGGAAAGAACUUGAGAGUUUGUUACAAUGGUUGAGAGAUGAGGUCAGGAAUCUUCCAAGUACAUGCACGUCUAAGCUUAACGCUGCUGCUGACUUUAUGCAUGCAGAAGGAACUACAUUAGAAUACGGGUAAGGAAUACAAACCAAUGAAUUCACCGCCGGUAUACAUUAGUCCGCUUGACUUGGGGCCCAAGUACACUGACAAAUCGGGGGCAGGUUUUCAGGAGUAUUGCAAGACUUUUGGGGAGAAUUAUUGUUUAUGGUGGCUAAUUUUUUGCUAUAAUCAGCCUAAUGCAGAGCCAGGUUGUAGUAUUGCUAGAGCAAGUAGGGAUUGCUUAUCAUUACCUGAUAACGAUUCCUCCUAUGCCGAGAUUUCGGAACCUUCACGGCCGCUUGUGUAUGGUCCAAAGGCUGUCAAAUGUAUGCUUUCGAGGGUGGUAAGUCUUUUUUACUUUUUGGUGCCUUUGAGUGUAGAAAUAAUAUGUUAUCAAUCCCCCUCCUAACCAUUUCUUGGUCUAGAGGUAUCUUCUUCAAUGUUUCUCUUCAUUUCUUUCAAAACUCCAGGACCACUUGUUUAAAAGGAUUCAUUUUUUUCUUCUCUCAUGUAGAUAAAUAGACGGCAGACUGUGAUUAUUGGGGGCUGAACCCAUGUGUGAACAUUGCAACUAACAGAUCCUUUUCUUGCCGCUAUAUAGAUCGGAACUUUACAUACCAAGAAAACUAGUGUUCUUUCUUAACCAACAGCUUCUACUUGCUUUGUUUCAUUACCUUCUGUCUAUAUCAUAACUUCUCAACUUCUGUUUAAAUAAGGUGUAACGAAGAAGUUAGUUUUUGAUGUUUUGUUUAAGAGUAAAGCAUGCACAUUCUUGAUGAUGAGUAUUUACUUCUUCAAUUUUAGUUUUAUCUCAUAUUUUGUGAAUUUCCUCUCUUGUUUUUACCAUAAAUGCAACUCUUCAAAAUUUCAAAUGCAGGAUGUGUCAAAUACCAAGGAUGGAAAGGCACAAAUAAAGGAAGAAAUUGGAGAAGGGACAGAAGUUUAGGUUUCCAGUGAUGAAGAUGGAUUUCAAGGCUCAUGGUUUGUAGCCAUUGUUGUCUAGGUAUUGGGGAAGGUCAAAUUUGUUAUUCAGUACAAGUGCUUAAAAACAGAUGAUGGUAAAGAGUUCUUGACAGAAGAGAUUGAUGCACAG